CGACCUCAGAUCAGACGAGACGACCCGCUGAAUUUAAGCAUAUUACUAAGCGGAGGAAAAGAAACUAACCAGGAUUCCCUCAGUAGCGGCGAGCGAAGAGGGAAGAGCCCAGCGCCGAAUCCCCCGUCCCCUCGCGGGCGCGGGGAAAUGUGGCGUACGGAAGUCCGCAUCGCCCGGCGCGGGCCGGGGGCCUGAGUCCUUCUGAUGGAGGCUCAGCCCGUGGACGGGGUGAGGCCGGUAACGGCCCCCGCCCCGCCCGGGACGCGGCUUUCCCGGAGUCGGGUUGCUGGGAAUGCAGCCAAAGGCAGGGGGUAACUCAUCUAAAGGCUAAAAUAAA
rnacentral:rRNA from 1 species